rnacentral:lncRNA from 1 species
CAGCUCCUCAUCCCUAAAAUGGAGUUAACUCAGAUGACACAUGGAGUGAAUGCUGGAGGUGAUCAGUACUCCUAGGUGGAGAACGACCCUAGGGAGAGAUGGACUGGAAUCAUCGUGGUUUACAUGGUUCCCGUGUUGAAGUCAUGAGAGGUGGUUUGGAGGACAGGGAGAAGGCAGCCCACAAAGGACUCGCUGUAUUUGAUCAGUCGUCUGGCUCUUAUUCUUAUGGAAGCUACUGGGAGAUUCGAAAUUCUGACCAGAGAUUAACAUGAGUAAGAGGUUCGGCAUUAUUCAAGCUAAUUGGGAAGAGUCUGCUUUAUAUUACAGGAGUUCUGGCUUGGUGUGGACCUCUCGGCCUUGGCUCUCCAUCUUUGUCUGUGUGCAGAGAAGUCUCAAGGCUCAGCUGCACCCACAAGAUGGUGUCCUUUCAUCCUGCUCCUCUUGUCUCUCUUGCCCUGGGCCUGGGCUUCAGCUGUGGCUGACUGUGAACUGGGUGAGGCAUGAUGCUCAAUGCAGUUGGUCCCACUUCUGUUUGAACUACUGCCCGAGGAGUUUUGGAAUAUCUUGUUUCAUACUUCUAGAAGUGGAAGCGCUUGUUCCUGUCAUUUUAGACGUCUGUAAAGCUGUUGUCCUAAGGAUGAAUGGAGGACUUGUGUUCAGUAAAUAAAAAUACCUCCAGCUGCCUAGAUCAGUCAUAGUCACAUUUGUGAAAGAGAAUAAACGUUUCUUAUUUUUCUCAUAACAGUUUUUUUUUUCUGGAACAUUUAGGUAGAUCCUGGUUAGUUUCAGAACAUAUUUAGGCUUAUUGCAAUGGAUUUAGAGUUGUGCUUUGUAUGUGCAAUGAACCUGGCAUUUUCAGCACCAUUGGAUCAGCUGGGCCACUGGAACCAAUGAACCGAGCAGGCCCCGCAGCAGCCUGGACCUGUUAAAGAGCCAUGGUCUGCGCUGGGCUCACUGUAAACUAGCAGCUUCCCAGGUCACUUGGUGAACAGAAGAAAUAGCAAUCCCAUUGGGGAAUAUGCUGCCAACUCCGAAGAGGCCAACAGGACUUGUACCUCUGUUUUGAGUCAUGGGAAAGACCAGAUGAAAUGACAUAUUCACUUGGAAGGUUUAACGUAACAUGACACACACUGCUGCCCCCCGGAAAUCUCUCUGAAGUGGAAGGCGUCGUAAGUUUUGCUUCACAAAACCAGGAAUUUUUUCAGAAAUUUUUGUUUCAGGUGGGAUUAUUUCUCACAUUUUCACACACAAGUACAUUACCAGUAAGUCUAGAGUAGCAUUUAAUAUUUUAUGGAGAGUUUUGGGUAGUGCCCAGCACAAAGUAAAUACAGAAUAAUUGCUAUUAGUUCUAGGAACUGGAGAAGAAAGCUUGCUCUGAACAUGUCUCAUUUGAAAUAAAUAGUCCAAGCAACAAUCUCCCAAUAUUUAAGAGUAUUCAUGUGCCUCGUCCAAGACAAAUCUCUGAUUAAAGCCCCUAGUCCCCUCUCUGUUCUCUAGCUCUCUUACCAUUAGGAGCUUGGAACAUUCCUACUCAAGAGGGACAUUUCCUUUCAUUUGUGUUACUUUUCCCUUCCCAUCGUCCGUCUGUCCUUCCCUUUGGACUCUCAGCAGCUUCUGCACUGUUCCCAGGAUAGCCUUUUCCCAGUGGGUUUGCUUCUCUGCCGCCUGCAGCCCAUGAGAAAUGGUAAUUCUCUAACUUGAAGACGUAUUUGCAGGAGGUUUUCUUUUUUUAUUCUCAAAGAAGGGACCAGGCAAAGCUAAGCUGGCAAUGGCUUGUGGAGAGGAUGGUUUGGGAGGAGGGAAGGCUGGGAUGCUCACAUAUUGAAAGCUGUUGUGUAGUUACAAAUGUUAUGAAGAGACUAAUAGAAAUAUGUCAUUGAGGAUCACAAAAGUAAAGGCAAAUAAGUUACACCAUAAAGGAAAUUUUUAGCAUUGCCAUUAUUGUUUGUUUUAUAACUUAACUUUUGAAAAUUCCAUUUAUUUUAAUUUUGACAGUAUAAAAGGUCUUUUUCAUACACAUUUUCACCUCUUAGUUGUGGGUUAAUUGGAAG